rnacentral:rRNA from 1 species
CGGACGGGUGAGUAAUGUCUGGGAAACUGCCUGAUGGAGGGGGAUAACUACUGGAAACGGUAGCUAAUACCGCAUAACGUCGCAAGACCAAAGAGGGGGACCUUCGGGCCUCUUGCCAUCGGAUGUGCCCAGAUGGGAUUAGCUAGUAGGUGGGGUAAAGGCUCACCUAGGCGACGAUCCCCAGCUGGUCUGAGAGGAUGACCAGCCACACUGGAACUGAGACACGGUCCAG